rnacentral:rRNA from 1 species
AUUGAACGCUGGCGGCAGGCUUAACACAUGCAAGUCGAACGAGUGGCGGACGGGUGAGUAAUGCUUGGGAAUCUAGCUUAUGGAGGGGGAUAACUACGGGAAACGGUAGCUAAUACCGCGUACCAUAGGAUGAGCCCAAGGGGGAUUAGGUAGUUGGUGAGGUAAAGGGUCACCAAGCCGACGAUCUCUAGCUGGUCUGAGAGGAUGAACAGUCACACUGGGACUGAGAAACGGCCCAGACUCCUACGGGAGGCAGCAGUGGGGAAUAUUGCGCAAUGGGGGCAACCCUGACGCAGCCAUGCCGCGUGAAUGAAGAAGGCCUUAGGGUUGUAAAGUACUUUCCGCGGGGAGGCGUUACCCGCAGAAGAAGCACCGGCUAACUCCGUGCCAGCAACCGCGGUAAUUC